rnacentral:tRNA from 1 species
UGGAGAAUAAACUAAGUAAAGUUGUUGGGCUCAUGACCUGAAUAUAGGUGUAAAACCUUUUUCCUA